CGCAGCUCGGCAUAACCUGUGCUAAGAAUUUUGGCCUCUGCCCUGAAUACUGGUCCUAUUUCACGUGUACUUCGUUAACGUGAUGACAUUCCUCUCCCCUGGAGAGUGGCCUUGGCGGAGCGAGACUAGCAGGGAAGCUCUGAAACAAGCUGAUGGCAAGGCUUACCUGCAGAAAGGCUUUCAUCCAAAGAUCUCAAAGCACCUGCGGACAGUAAUGAAGCCUCCCAGCACCUGCACUCAGUAGGCCGUCAGCCAGGAGCCUUUGGAACCAGAACCAGUGUGACACCGUCGUCAUCACCGUAUUACAUCAUCCAAGUCCACGAGGAGUUUCUGUGCAACCAGAACGAACUCACCGGGCCAGGCUGCAAGUUUUUAAAGAGAGGCCCCCAGGCUACUUUUGGGCCAGAAUCAUCUGGGGAUUCCUGUGCCUGACCCUGAAUCUUCCAAACCAGGUGUGAGACUUCGCCCCAGGAGACAAUGCCCAAACUCAAAGAUGUCAGUUUAUUGAAGACAUGGCCUGAAAGAGCAGACCUGCUGGGUCUGGGAAGAAUACUCACCCUUACUCCUACCCCCAACCAAUAAAAGCCUUGUCAUCAGGUUUAGAGGUUGGAAGACAGCAAGCAAACUGCAGAACACCAGGGAAUAGGAAGUGUGGAUGCCACACGGCACUGAAAUGCAAGAAUCAUUUGAGAAGCGUAAUUAUCCAAGGUGGCAGUUUGAUGAAGGGAUGGAGGUUGACACCCCUAACCUUGAGUAAAGUGUCCUGGAAUCUGAGUGCUUAUAAAUGGUCCACAUUUCAAGUUCCUGCCUCUCCCCAAAGUGCUGGCAGCUCCCUCACAACAAGGCCCACCUGGGCACCUGCAGCCCUGACCCACAGGGCAGAGAACCGUGUGCUGAAUCAUCAAUGCCUCCUGAAGCUCUGAGCCAAGAGUGGCAGGGUGACGCCACCCUGUUUUCCUUUGCCACCCUAACCAAAACACUGUGCUAGCUAGGACACAGAGUAGCUCAAAGGGAGCCCCACCAGCUGAGGUUUCCACAAGAUCUUGUAAUGUUAAUACAGCUUUAUGAAAAUGAGCCACAAGCUUUUACAUCCACUGAUGUAUAAAAAUGGACUUGGAGGUCACUGGUUUAACUACUGCAUUUUACAGAUGUGGAAACAGACUUGGAGAGGUUAUACCUCUUGUUAAAGUAGCCCAGCUGGCCAAACCAGGAAUAAACCCAGGUCUCUGGAUGACCUGUUCCCCAAUCCACACAACUGCCCCAGUAGAGUGGUCCUUCCAUUGCAAGACACCAACAACCACCACCGUCCCCCACUAUGUUUUUCUGGGAGUACAUUCUGUUGAAAUAAAAGAAUAACCUGACAUGAUUUUACGAAUCCUUAUAAGAUGCUUGGACAUUUGAAGGUUGAACCUAGGGCAUCUCAGCAUAGUGUGUUUUAUUUAAUAUUUAAA